rnacentral:rRNA from 1 species
UAGGGAAUCUUCGGCAAUGGGGGCAACCCUGACCGAGCAACGCCGCGUGAGUGAAGAAGGUUUUCGGAUCGUAAAGCUCUGUUGUAAGUCAAGAACGGGUGUGAGAGUGGAAAGUUCACACUGUGACGGUAGCUUACCAGAAAGGGACGGCUAACUACGUGCCAGCAGCCGCGGUAAUACGUAGGUCCCGAGCGUUGUCCGGAUUUAUUGGGCGUAAAGCGAGCGCAGGCGGUUUGAUAAGUCUGAAGUUAAAGGCUGUGGCUCAACCAUAGUUCGCUUUGGAAACUGUCAAACUUGAGUGCAGAAGGGGAGAGUGGAAUUCCAUGUGUAGCGGUGAAAUGCGUAGAUAUAUGGAGGAACACCGGUGGCGAAAGCGGCUCUCUGGUCUGUAACUGACGCUGAGGCUCGAAAGCGUGGGGAGCGAACAGGAUUAGAUACCCUGGUAGUCCACGCCGUAAACGAUGAGUGCUAGGUGUUGGAUCCUUUCCGGGAUUCAGUGCCGCAGCUAACGCAUUAAGCACUCCGCCUGGGGGAGUACGACCGCAAG